rnacentral:rRNA from 1 species
AACGCGUGAGAAUCUGCCUUCAGGAUGGGGACAACAGUUGGAAACGACUGCUAAUACCCAAUAUGCCCUAAGGGGUGAAAGUUAUCUCGCCUGAAGAGGAGCUCGCGUCCGAUUAGCUAGUUGGUGGGGUAAGAGCCUACCAAGGCAGCGAUCGGUAGCUGGUCUGAGAGGAUGAGCAGCCACACUGGGACUGAGACACGGCCCAGACUCCUACGGGAGGCAGCAGUGGGGAAUUUUCCGCAAUGGGCGAAAGCCUGACGGAGCAAUACCGCGUGAGGGAGGAAGGCUUUUGGGUUGUAAACCUCUUUUCUCAAGGAAGAAGCCAGUGACGGUACUUGAGGAAUCAGCAUCGGCUAACUCCGUGCCAGCAGCCGCGGUAAUACGGAGGAUGCAAGCGUUAUCCGGAAUCAUUGGGCGUAAAGCGUCCGCAGGUGGCGUAUCAAGUCUGCUGUCAAAGACUAGAGCUCAACUCUGGAAAGGCGGUGGAAACUGGUAGGCUAGAGUACGGUAGGGGUAGAGGGAAUUCCCAGUGUAGCGGUGAAAUGCGUAGAUAUUGGGAAGAACACCAGUGGCGAAGGCGCUCUACUGGGCCGUAACUGACACUCAGGGACGAAAGCUAGGGUAGCGAAAGGGAUUAGAUAC